UAGACUAUCAGGGCCAAGGGCGUGC
rnacentral:piRNA from 1 species